rnacentral:rRNA from 1 species
GUCUACGGCCAUACCACCCUAAACGCGCCCAGUCUUGUCUGAUCUCAGAAGCUAAGCAGGGUCGGGCCUGGUUAGUACUCGGACAGAAGAAA